UCCUCGCCUAGCCUUAGCCUUAUUCGUAAUCAUAGUCUAGCCAUUCAUCUUUAAUCCUUUCUGAAAUGGUUAAAAGAGAAUAGCAAGAGUGAGCAACAAUGCUCAGCAAGUAGUAAUAAACAAUGACAGUUCUGAAAUGAUAUAACAGAAAUUCUCGAGUUCAAGAUAUAAAAAGAUUCAACCUGAGUUCACAAAUUCAGGUAUUGUAUAAAAGAAUCACAAUACCUUGCAGCAAUAGAAACCUGAGGAAUUCAAUCCUUCACAAG
rnacentral:lncRNA from 1 species